rnacentral:lncRNA from 1 species
CAUACGAAAUAAGGAAAUAAUUAAGACAUGAUCUUAAUUUAAGAGGAGGCAAGCUAGAUGAUUCAGAAGCUACUGCCAAUAUACAAAUUUCAAAGAAACACGAAUUAAGAAAAGAAGAAGCAUCCACAUAACAAUAAGAAACCACAUUUUAUCAAAAUUAAUUAACAAAGUAGCAUCACUGCCUAUCAUACUUGGAAAGACACCUCAUAUCUAUUCAUACAAAAAAGGCAAUAUCAGACCAAUAUCAACAAGGCAUAUCAG